rnacentral:rRNA from 1 species
AGAGUUUGAUCCUGGCUCAGGAUGAACGCUGGCGGCGUGCUUAACACAUGCAAGUCGAGCGAUGAAGUUUCCUUCGGGAAAUGGAUUAGCGGCGGACGGGUGAGUAACACGUGGGUAACCUGCCUCAUAGAGUGGAAUAGCCUUCCGAAAGGGAGAUUAAUACCGCAUAACGUUGAAAGAUGGCAUCAUCAUUCAACCAAAGGAGCAAUCCGCUAUGAGAUGGACCCGCGGCGCAUUAGCUAGUUGGUGGGGUAACGGCCUACCAAGGCGACGAUGCGUAGCCGACCUGAGAGGGUGAUCGGCCACAUUGGGACUGAGACACGGCCCAGACUCCUACGGGAGGCAGCAGUGGGGAAUAUUGCACAAUGGGGGAAACCCUGAUGCAGCAACGCCGCGUGAGUGAUGAAGGUUUUCGGAUCGUAAAGCUCUGUCUUUGGGGAAGAUAAUGACGGUACCCAAGGAGGAAGCCACGGCUAACUACGUGCCAGCAGCCGCGGUAAUACGUAGGUGGCGAGCGUUAUCCGGAUUUACUGGGCGUAAAGGGAGCGUAGGCGGAUGAUUAAGUGGGAUGUGAAAUACCCGGGCUCAACUUGGGUGCUGCAUUCCAAACUGGUUAUCUAGAGUGCAGGAGAGGAGAGUGGAAUUCCUAGUGUAGCGGUGAAAUGCGUAGAGAUUAGGAAGAACACCAGUGGCGAAGGCGACUCUCUGGACUGUAACUGACGCUGAGGCUCGAAAGCGUGGGGAGCAAACAGGAUUAGAUACCCUGGUAGUCCACGCCGUAAACGACGAAUACUAGGUGUGGGGGUUUCAACACCUCCGUGCCGCCGCUAACGCAUUAAGUAUUCCGCCUGGGGAGUACGGUCGCAAGAUUAAAACUCAAAGGAAUUGACGGGGACCCGCACAAGUAGCGGAGCAUGUGGUUUAAUUCGAAGCAACGCGAAGAACCUUACCUACACUUGACAUCCCUUGCAUUACUCUUAAUCGAGGAAAUCCCUUCGGGGACAAGGUGACAGGUGGUGCAUGGUUGUCGUCAGCUCGUGUCGUGAGAUGUUGGGUUAAGUCCCGCUACGAGCGCAACCCUUGUCGUUAGUUACUACCAUUAAGUUGAGGACUCUAGCGAGACUGCCUGGGUUAACCAGGAGGAAGGUGGGGAUGACGUCAAAUCAUCAUGCCCCUUAUGUGUAGGGCUACACACGUGCUACAAUGGCUGGUACAGAGAGAUGCAAUACCGCGAGGUGGAGCCAAACUUAAAAACCAGUCUCAGUUCGGAUUGUAGGCUGAAACUCGCCUACAUGAAGCUGGAGUUACUAGUAAUCGCGAAUCAGAAUGUCGCGGUGAAUACGUUCCCGGGUCUUGUACACACCGCCCGUCA